ensembl:lncRNA
AACCAUCUGUAAUGGGAUCUGAUGCCCUCUUCUGGUGUGCGUAGACAGCUACAGUGUAUUUUAUAUACAUAAAAUAAAUAAUUAAAAAAAAGAACAAGGUUUUGCAAGGGUAUGUGCACGAAUAGAAAGUUAAUGAACAAUGCUACUAAAUUCAAUACCUGUGGAAAGCUGUACAUUAGUAGCUAUGAUUUAGGACAGCCCUUAGGACAAAAAGAGAGUGGCCAGUAUCAGUGCUGCAUGCACACUUGCAAUGCCAGCCCUCAAGAGUCUGAGGCAGAAGGAACACCAAGUUCAAGACCAACCUGAACUACAGAUAGACAGAAAAGUCUAUUAAACAAACAAAAACCCUCCACUAAGUUGCUUUGGUGACUAUACUUGACUAUACUUCUGUGAAUAUAGAUCCAAACACAUUUUUCAUGUGAAAGUGAAAUUACUAGAGAACGUGAGAAUUUUCAGGGGGUAAAGGCACCUGCCACCAAAAUUAAUAAGCAGAGUUCAGUUCCUGGUAUCUAGAUGAUACACACACACACACACACACACACACACACACACACACACACAAACAACACACACACAAACACACAUGCACAGACACACACACACACACAAACAACACAGACACACACAAAUAACACAUACACAUACAAAUACACACAAACACACACACAUAGACAAACAAUACACACACAAACACACAUGCACACACACACAAACAACACAGACACACACACACACACACACAGGCAAACAACACAUACACAUACAAAUACUCACAAACACAUGCACACACACACACAGUGGCACUAAUGUACCCACAAACAUAUACAUAAACACAAAGUGAAUAAAUAAUUAAUACAAUUCUUAAAAGAAAAUUAAAUUGCCCUUUGUUUAUUUGGUCGGUUGCCUGGUUUGGUUUGUUUUUCUACACAAGGAUUUCUCUGUGUAGCCCUGGCUGUCCUAAAACUUACUCUGUAGAUCAGGCUGUCCCCAAAAUUAGGGAUCUGCCUGCUCCUGCCUCCUGAGUGUUGAUAUCAAAGGCAUGAACCACCACACCAGUAAAUCACCUUGUUUGUUUGUUUGCUUUGUCUUUUUGAGAUAAGGUCUCUCUGUGUAGCCCUGGAUGUCCUGGAACUCACUCUGUAGACCAGGCUGACCAUGAACUCAGCCUCUCAGGUCAACAUUGCUCCUCUUUAAUGAGACCUCCAAGGAAGGAGAUGCCAAGUAGUGCUUCAAAGCUUCGGACCACAAUCAAACACAGCAUCCUUUUCAACAGAAGCAGAAGCUCAUCUGAAUAUGCUCAAGGAUGCUGACACCAACAUUUAAUCAUCUGCUCACUCAUCCAGGAAGAAGGGGAGAUCAGUUACUACUGUACUUUAUUGUGUUCAACCAAAUCACCAUGUUACAAAAAUAGCAAGCUGCCAUAAUAAAAAAUAAGGCUCCUCAAUCCAGCACCAGAUAGCAUCAUUUUACUUUCAAGCCUAGAAAUGCCAUAGACAUAUCCAAAGAACACAAGGGAGCAAAAGAACCACAGCUGAUGGGGCACUGGGACUGCCCAGUGUCCAGCUGAGCUACUCUGUGGUUAUCACUCUUCUCCUACUUCUGGUGUUUCAUGCUCCUUAAGAUUAAACUGUGCGCACUUACAGACUGUUUGCACACUUGUAUAUAAACCAACUGAAGAUGCAAAUGUUACACGGGAGGUGCGAGCCUGUGGAGCCUUGUUGUAAUCGGUGUAGCAGCUGUCAGUGUAAAAUGCUCUAUGCCCCUUGUGUAUCUCACAGGACAGUGUCACAGAUCACUUCACCCCGUGGCUGCUGGCAUUAUUUGACUUCACUUUCCCUGCCCACCCACCCUCAAUAAACCACAGCCUUUAUGAUUUUGUUUCUUCGGUUUUGAUCGCCUAAGGUUUGAUUGGUCCAGUUCUAACAGGUUUGGUGGUUAUGGUGGGUGCAGGGGGUGGCUUUUCUUCUACUUUUUCCUGACAGGUACCAGGAGGGUCACUCAGUGUCUCAGGUUUACUUGUAUCACUGUCCACUUUCUGGG